rnacentral:misc_RNA from 1 species
UCCGGUUUUUCACCGGCAGUCUCUCUAGAGUGCCCAGCAUAACCUGAUGGCAACUAAAGACAGGGGUUGCGCUCGUUGCGAGACUUAACCCAACAUCUCACGACACGAGCUGACGACAGCCAUGCAGCACCUGUCUCCGGUCCAGCCGAACUGAAGAGCUCCAUCUCUGGUGCUCGCGACCGGGAUGUCAAAGGCUGGUAAGGUUCUGCGCGUUGCUUCGAAUUGAACCACAUACUCCACCGCUUGUGCGGGCCCCCGUCAAUUCCUUUGAGUUUCAGUCUUGCGACCGUACUCCCCAGGCGGCGAACUUAACGCGUUAGCUUCGAUACUGCGUGCCAAAUUGCACCCAACAUCCAGUUCGCAUCGUUUAGGGCGUGGACUAC